rnacentral:ncRNA from 1 species
CGGGAAUGCGCCCGCAGGGAUGUGACUGCGAAAAAAAGCAGUUGAACCAUAAA